rnacentral:tRNA from 1 species
AGCCCCUUCGACUAAGGGUUAGGUCACGUCCCUUUCAAGGACGGAGUGCUGGGUUCAAUUCCCGCAGGGGCUGCCA